rnacentral:rRNA from 1 species
CAGAGACUGCGAGCGUAUUCGGAUCACUGGGCGUAAAGGGUGCGCAGGCGGCCAAGUGUGUGAGGCGUGAAAGCCCGGGGCUUAACCCCGGAAUUGCACCUCAAACUACAUGGCUAGAGCAUUGGAGAGGGUAGCAGAAUUCAUGGUGUAGCAGUGAAAUGCGUAGAUAUCAUGAGGAAUACCAGAGGCGAAGGCGGCUACCUGGACAAUUGCUGACGCUCAGGCACGAAAGCGUGGGGAGCAAAAGGGAUUAGAUACCCCUGUAGUCCACGCCCUAAACGGUGCACACUAGGUCUUGGCGGAUUCGACCCCGCCAGGGCCCCAGCUAACGCGUUAAGUGUGCCGCCUGAGGACUACGGCCGCAAGGCUA